rnacentral:rRNA from 1 species
UUGCCUAUGGGUUUUUGUUUAUAGGUAUUUUCUGCCCGGUGGUUUUUAACGGCCGCGGUACUCUGACCGUGCAAAGGUAGCAUAAUCAUUUGCCCUUUUAUUGGGGGCUAGAAUGAAUGGAAUAACGAGGUUCUAACUGUCUCUUUUUUUAGGAUGAAAUUUGCUGUUUUUGUGAAGAAGCAGAGGUGUAAGAGAAAGACAAGAAGACCCUAUUAAGCUUAACCUAUUUUUUAUACUUAUUUGUUUUUAAAAAUAAAUGUGUACAGUAAUAACAGGGGUUUAAUUGGGGUGAUUAAAAAAGACGAAAUCUUUUUUUAUAAUAAAAACUUAUUUGUUUAAGAAAGAGCCAAGGGUCUUGAAAAAAGAAAAAGUUACUAUAGGGAUAACAGCGUAAUUUUUUCUGAGAGUUCGUAUCGAAGAAAGAGAUUGCGACCUCGAUGUUGACUUAUUGUAUCCUUUGGGUGUAGCAGUUCUCAGGGUUAGUCUGUUCGACUAUUAAAACAGU